CUACGGGACGCUGCAGUUAGGAAUCUUCCGCAAUGGACGAAAGUCUGACGGAGCGACGCCGCGUGGGUGAAGAAGGCCGAGAGGUUGUAAAGCCCUUUUCUGCUUGAGGAAUAAGCCUGGUAGGGAAUGACCGGGUGAUGACGGUAGGGCAGGAAUAAGCCCCGGCUAAUUACGUGCCAGCAGCCGCGGUAACACGUAUGGGGCGAGCGUUGUUCGGAAUCAUUGGGCGUAAAGGGCGUGUAGGCGGAAAUGCAAGUCUGGUGUGAAAGACCGCAGCUCAACUGCGGGGACGCGCUGGAAACUGCAUAUCUUGAGUUCCGGAGGGGGAGUUGGAAUUCCUGGUGUAGGGGUGAAAUCUGUUGAUAUCAGGAAGAACAUCGGUGGCGAAGGCGAACUCCUGGACGAGAACUGACGCUGAGGCGCGAAAGCGUGGGGAGCGAACAGGAUUAGAUACCCGGGUAGUC
rnacentral:rRNA from 1 species